rnacentral:rRNA from 1 species
UACAGAGGGGGCAAGCGUUGUUCGGAAUUACUGGGCGUAAAGGGCGCGUAGGCGGCCUGCUAAGUCGAACGUGAAAUCCCUGGGCUCAACCCAGGAACUGCGUCCGAUACUGGUUGGCUUGAAUCCGGGAGAGGGAUGUGGAAUUCCAGGUGUAGCGGUGAAAUGCGUAGAUAUCGUGGAGGAACACCGGUGGCGAAGGCGACAUCCUGGACCGGUAUUGACGCUGAG